AGGGUUGUGGCCUAGUGGUUAGAGCAUCAGACUCACGACUUGAAGGUCGAGGGUUCGAUUCUUUACCCUC
rfam:Macrostomum lignano uti_cns_0008471, whole genome shotgun sequence.